GUAGGUGGCAAGCGUUGUCCGGGAAUUAUUGGGGCGUAAAGCGCGCGCAGGCGGUUCUUUAAGUCUGAUGUGAAAGCCCACGGGCUCAACCGUGGAGGGUCAUUGGAAAACUGGAGAACUUGAGUACAGAAGAGGAAAGUGGAAUUCCACGUGUAGCGGUGAAAUGCGUAGAGAUGUGGAGGAACACCAGUGGCGAAGGCGGCUUUCUGGUCUGUAACUGACGCUGAGGCGCGAAAGCGUGGGGAGCAAACAGGAUUAGAUACCCUGGUAGUCCACGCCGUAAACGAUGAGUGCUAAGUGUUAGGGGGGUUUCCGCCCCUUAGUGCUGCAGCUAACGCAUUAAGCACUCCGCCUGGGGAGUACGGCCGCAAAGGCUG
rnacentral:rRNA from 1 species